AGAAUCAACGCUGGCGGCGUGCCUAACACAUGCAAGUCGAACGCGAAAGUCCCGCAAGGGAUAAGUAGAGUGGCAAACGGGUGAGUAACGCGUGGGCGACCUACCUUCGAGUGGGGGAUAACCUUCCGAAAGGAGGGCGUAAUACCGCAUGACAUCCCGUGUUUGGAUACACGGACAUCAAAGCCGGGGAUCGCAAGACCUGGCGCUUGGAGAGGGGCCCGCGUCCGAUUAGCUAGUUGGUGAGGUAACGGCUCGACCAAGGCCUCCGAUCGGUA
rnacentral:rRNA from 1 species